GCGGGUGGUGGGGGGCGGAGGCGGUGGGGCUGCGGGUCGCAGAUCUCUUGGGACCACUCACAGCGCCGGGGGGCCACUCUGCGUUGCAGAGAAAUGGAGGGCUCAGGAGGUAGACUCCGGGAUGCGGCCCAUCCCGGGAAAGCGUCGAGGACCCCGCGGCUCGCCUAUCCUCCCCACCGACCCGGUCAGCGGGCGGACCUGGCGGCGCCGGGCCCUGAGCUUCAGAAGAGGCGCCCAGGAGAGGGACAGAAAGAUCGAGGGGUUCUCUGGUCCCUAAGCCUCCGGGCUGCCCCGCUUGCCGGCCAGCCACAUCCGUUAGCGGCUCUUUGUGACACCUACACCACUUCACAGAGGCGGUGAGAACAGGGUUUGAAUUUCAGCUUUCUUGUCACAAGCCGCCUGUUCUUUUGACCUGGCUGAAUCUGCUAGUCCAUCAGACCAUCCUUCCUCGCCCAGAUCUGGAGUUCUGGAGCAGUUUGGCUGAGCAGUCCUGAUAUGGGAUUUCUCAGGAGACUGCAGUCAAGAUAUCAGCAGGGGCUGCAUUAUUAUCUGAAGGCUUGACUGGGGCCACUUCCAAAAUGGUGCCCUCACGUGGCUGUCAAUAAGAGGCCUGAGUUUCUCUCCCCUGUGGGACUGUCUCCCAGAGCUGCUUGAGUGUCCGUAUGACAUGGUAGCUGGCUUCCCUCAGAGAAGUGUCAAGAGAACACUGAAGCAACAAUUCCUUUUAUGACCUAGCUUCAGAAAUCAUAGUCAUCUCUGCCACAUUCUCUUAGAGGUCAGUCACUAAGUUCUGCCUCUCAUUCCAGAGGAGGGCAAUUAGGCUCCAUUUUUUUUUUUUUUUUUUGGCUGCUGUAGCAUAUGGGAAUCAAACCCAUGGCCCCUGCAGUGGAAGCGUGGAGCCCCAACCACUGGACCACCAGGGAAUUCUCUAGAUUCCACCUUUUAAAGGUAGGAAGGUCACAGAACUCCUGGAUAUAUUUUGAAACCAUCAUAACAGGCAAUGAUAGAGCUGAGGAGCCAAACAAGAUUGUGAGACAAAGGCAUAGAUUAUCAACAGCAGAAAGAUAUUAAUCCACUUAGGACUAGAGAAAGGAAGGGAGGAAGUAGGACUAUCAGAGCCCAGGAGCCAGGACUAUCCAGUAGAAACUGGACUUUCAGAGGAUCUGGAGCCUCGAACAUGCAGUCACUGGCAGAGAUGCUUCCCAAAGCAGCAAGGGAGACAAAAAUGCCCUGGCUUCUUCCUUCCUCGGCCCUCCAGUCUUCCACCAGUGCCUGCGACUGGCUGAACCUACCAGGAAGCAGAGUGAAAGGGAGCCUGGGAAACAGAUUUCCUUGUGAUACAAAGGUGGGCAGAGAGGGCCAGGAUGGGUGUGAGAUGAAGGUCCUAGCACGGCACCUCCCAGGACGGCUUACUUGAUUAGGUGGUGACAUUAUGGCUAAACUUGUCUUGAAUUUUCAUUUUUAUAUCAAUAUUGUUCUUCAUAAAGUAACAUUUAAAAAUUGAAAAAUGAAAAAAAGAAAAGAAAAAUGAAAGAAAAUUCUCUAGUCUC
ensembl:lncRNA